UAGCUAAGCGGUAAAGCGCUUGGCUUCCGAACCGGGGGUCCCGGGUUCGAAUCCUGG
rnacentral:tRNA from 1 species